rnacentral:misc_RNA from 1 species
UGACAGCCAAGGUCAUGAUGUCGAAACAACUUAGAUGCAUACAUUAAAAUUGUUCUCCUUUCAUUAGCUGCUUCACAGUAAGAAACAUUAAAUACAAAACAAAAUCUGAUGAGAGCAAUAUUUAAAGAAGAAGCUUGAGCAGGGAGGGGCACUCGGCGAGCAUUUAGACAAUUUGAAAUAAGCAGUUCAUUGUUAACCCUACUCAUCUUUUCGGAAAGUACUCGGACUCAUCGCAAGUAACUAGGCAUGCUGAUUAACAGAGAGAAUCAAAUAUUACGACUUAGAACCCACCCCUUAAGACUAACAAUGACAUAAACAUAUACUAGCACAUAUAGAGAAAA